UUCAGUUCUCUGCCUCAUUUUCUUCAUCUGCACUGGGGAGAAAAAGAAUAAUAAUUGUGAUCUUGGAAGCUAAGCAGGGUCGGGCCUGGUUAGUACUUGGAUGGGAGACCACCUAGGAAGACCGGGUGCUGUAG
rnacentral:rRNA from 1 species